rnacentral:rRNA from 1 species
AUUGAACGCUGGCGGCAUGCUUUACACAUGCAAGUCGAACGGUAACAGGUUAAGCUGACGAGUGGCGAACGGGUGAGUAAUGCAUCGGAACGUGCCCGAUCGUGGGGGAUAACACUUCGAAAGAAGUGCUAAUACCGCAUACGAUCUGAGGAUGAAAGCGGGGGACCGUAAGGCCUCGCGCGAUCGGAGCGGCCGAUGUCAGAUUAGGUAGUUGGUGGGGUAAAGGCUCACCAAGCCGACGAUCUGUAGCUGGUCUGAGAGGACGACCAGCCACACUGGGACUGAGACACGGCCCAGACUCCUACGGGAGGCAGCAGUGGGGAAUUUUGGACAAUGGGCGCAAGCCUGAUCCAGCAAUGCCGCGUGCAGGAAGAAGGCCUUCGGGUUGUAAACUGCUUUUGUACGGAGCGAAAAGGCUCUCUCUAAUACAGGGGGCUCAUGACGGUACCGUAAAAAUAAGCACCGGCUAACUACGUGCCAGCAGCCGCGGUAACAC